rnacentral:rRNA from 1 species
GAUUUCUGGUUUAAUGCACCUGGCCCGCGGCCUUUUAGGCUUGUGAGUGCCGGCGCGCGUUUACCAUCCUUCUAGAAAACGUUUCUGCCAUUAAUUUGGUGGGAUCGCGAUCUAGAUCUUUUACUUUGAAAAAAUUAGAGUGUUUAAAGCAGGCUUGCGCUAUGAAUACAUUAGCAUGGAAUAAUAAUUUAGGACUUUGUUUCUAUUUUGUUGGUUUCUAGGAAUGAAGUAAUGAUUGAUAGGGACAGUUGGGGGUGCUAGUAUUCAUCGGCCAGAGGUGAAAUUCUUGGAUUCGAUGAAGACUAACUUAUGCGAAAGCAUU